UUAAUUGAAGAGUUUGAUCAUGGCUCAGAUUGAACGCUGGCGGCAGGCCUAACACAUGCAAGUCGAGCGGUAACAGAAAUUAGCUUGCUAAUUUGCUGACGAGCGGCGGACGGGUGAGUAAUGCCUGGGAAUAUGCCUUAGUGUGGGGGAUAACUAUUGGAAACGAUAGCUAAUACCGCAUAAUGUCUUCGGACCAAAGAGGGGGACCUUCGGGCCUCUCGCGCUAAGAUUAGCCCAGGUGAGAUUAGCUA
rnacentral:rRNA from 1 species